rnacentral:misc_RNA from 1 species
GUAAAAACAUGAAGCAAAUUUUCUUAGUUUUUUAAAAACGAAAUUGCAUUUUGUUGAGACCCACAAAUGGUACCGCCAUCGUCAUGAACAGCGCGUUGGUACGUACGUUUUUGUUGUGUGUGUUGCUGAGUGGUAGCGCGCGUCCAUGUGCAUUUCUUCGGCGGCAUGUUCGCGUACGUUCGUUUCCGCGACGACAACGAAAAGCGAAUCGUCCCAGUGGCUGCAUGUAAACACCUCAAGCCGAACGAUACGAGCGAUUUUAAUCCUCGCAAAUGGUACAAAGUCUUCUGGAAAGAUGAAACACACUGCGACCACUACCACGCUCAAGUGAUUAGGCCUUACGCUACCGAGGACGAUGCAGGGAAGGCUACCGAAAAACGAACUUCCAUUCCGCAAAGACCUGGCAGCGACUCCUCCUAUAGCUGCAGUUCAAAUGAAGUGGAUGGAUCGUUUGAAGAAGAAACGCAGCGUCAAGCUGCUGUUAAACAGAAAAUGAAGGAUGUGAGCAGCCAUUUUAAGAAGAAGCAGCGAGACCUCCUGUUUGGUGAUGCUGAGGGCGGAAAAAAGACCGAGAAAGAACUUCUCAAAGAAGAAGUGAAUAUGCUGAAGGCCGAAAAUUCAAAACUCUUGGACCGAAUAAGAAUGCUCGAAAAGGCCCUAUGCAGCAAAAUUUUCAAAACAGAAAAAAACCUCGUUCUGUGCGAGGGCUGCAGCCGCAAGCCAGAACAACAAGUUGCGCCUUUGCCAUCGCCAUGUGCUGCCACGCACCACCACCAUGCAGCCGCCGCGCACCGCUACCGUGCAGCCACUGCGCACCACCACAGCGACCCCGGGCAGCCCUGAAGUGGCCCACACAAGUGCGAGGGAGGCCGAUUACGUGACCACUGACGGAGAGGUAUUGUAAAACUCUAGUGUGCUUUGUCUUAAAGGUAUAAUGCUUUGCUGUAAUGAGAAAAUGUGCAUUGACAUAUUGUUGUGUGCACAUCAUCUUUAACUUGUUUUAUAGGUGCAUCUGGGCAAAGGGAUCACCAUUCCUGAGGGCCUGUACAGCCGCCUCAUGAGCACAAAAAGCGAAACCCGCUUUGUUCGUGAGGCGGCCGUUGCCAUUUAUUCAACGGCAGGCUUGGUUGGGCGGAGUGUAAUUGGAACAGCCUCUAACCGGACAAAGGGAGAGGCAAAACCUCCCUUGGAUAAAGAAAAAUACGCUGUGCUUUCUGAUUUCUUCAACCAUUUUUUGAAAAGCAAUUUUCCAAUUGGAGAGGUCGAGCAAAAGAAGAAGAUACUAAAUAAGGCGCUCGCAAACAAAAUUAACGAUUUGAUGAAAUCAAAAGAUUAAGAAGUCAAUGGAACAUCAAAUAAAAGAUUUUGUUUGAUUUCUGUGUUCA